AAGGAGAUCGAUGGUGCUAGGGGGUCAUGGGAGCUGUGCACGGUCAACCCUGGCUUCCCCCAAAGGGCACAGCACAAACGUCUCUGCUUGUUCUCAGGCACCUUUCUGGGAUGGGCCUGGGACCGGGGCCAGCAGCAGACAUGGGGCAGAGUGAGUCUGACCGCAGGAUGAGCAGGAGAGGACGUCAGCCUUCACUUCGUGCUGUGGAGCUGCCUACACGUCUACCAGCGCAUGAUGGACAAGGCGACGGAUGUGUGCCUCUUCCUGACACAGCUCGGCGAGAUGGUGGGCCAGCUGGCUGUGCUGACCGGGGAGCCCCUCAUCUUCACCAUCAAAGCCAACCGUGACUGCACCUUCCUCAAGAUCUCCAGGUUGGACUUCUACGAGUUGGUGUCACCCUUCCCCUCCACAUCCUGUGGGCAGGGUCUGCCCACCUCCCACCCCACUUCCAUCUAGACUGGUGGCCUGGGUCAGAUUGGGGCCAGUGCUCCCUAGAGGGGAAAGGCACCGUGUCCCAUUCCCCACCCCCAUAAACCAGCCAGUCCUCUGCCCUGGGCUGGAUUGGAGCUGCCUCCCCCUAGAGGGGAAAGGCCCCAUGUCCCAGUCCUCCAAUCAUGCACCUGUUGCAUGGGCCUGGAUUCUCCUGCCCUGGGCUGUGAUCUGUCCUGGUGCCAUGUUUUCUUGGCUGGCUCUGUUCCAGAGGAGGUGGGUGACUCAGGGAUGGGGCGGCUGCAGUCAGCAGCGCACUGGCAGCAACGAGGCCACCUGUGCACUGACGAGCUGCCCGCUCUCUCCCCAGGAUCGUGCGGGAACAGCCCAGUGUGGUGCUGAGUGUUGGCCAUACUGUGGCCACCCGCAUGUCCCCAUUCAUGCACCAGAUGGACUUUGCCAUCGAUUGGAUGGCAGUGGAGGCCAAACGGGCUUUGUACAGGAGAGUGAGGCCUGUGCUGGCGGGGGAGGGGGGUGCUGGGAAAUCCUGGCUGGGGAACCCCAGUUUCUCCGCCUAGCCCAUGGCACAGCUGGGACCAACAGUCCCUGCUGUGUUUAACCCUUUCUGCGCCAGGGUAACGGGCACCCCUGUUACUCUCAGCCUCGUCUAUGCCCUUCCUGCAGCAAAAAUGACUCAGGCAUCCCAGCUCUCUGGGCGGGCGCUGUCCAGGCCAGCAGCCGUGCUGUUUCCAGAGGGGCCAGGCGAGACCUGACCAGCUGCCUCUGACCCCUCCAUGGGACUCAGGUUUUCACCUGGACUGACCUCACUUCAAUCCCUUCCUGGUUGCAGAUGUUGGAUUGAGAGCAGCCCGGGUGCUCUGGGGAUGGGGGCAUCCCAGCCCAGGGCAGGUGCCAGCUGGGGCUGUCAGACUUGCCACUCAUUGCAUAUGCUCUCCCAGCCCAGGCGGUAGGGGGCGUUCUCCCUGGGGCAGACACCAGCUCAGCAUUCAGACUCACCGCUCACUGCAUGCACUCUCCCAGCCAAUGUGGUAGGGGACGCUCUAGUUCUAGGGCUGGAGGAACCCAGCCCUGGGGAACCUAGGUCCUGCAGGAUAGCUCCAUUGGGAGGGGACUUGUAGAAAGAAGGAGUAGAGCUCCAUAUGAACACACAAGUGACACAAGCAGCACAUUGAUAGAAUUACAGACCCUCCUCCCCCAGAAGAGUAACCCUAAUCAAUGAGCCUACCCAAAGUGCCGGGCACAUCUGGUAAUUGCAUGCAAAAAGCCUUUAAUGAUGAUGCUGGGAGAUUGCUUUAGGUGAAAAACUGCUGUAAUAAUUGAUUUUAGCCUGUUAAUGUAAAAUUUAGACUCUAAGAAGCAUGUUAUGAUUUUCAUUUUAUAUGUAACCAGUUCUGUUUCCAUUAUCCUGACUCAGUACCUCUUAAAUCUUAAUCUUUGAUAAUAAAUGUAGGAUUAUUCCACUA